CAGUCGCCACGGUAAUACGAGGGGGGCAAGCGUUGUUCGGAUUUAUUGGGCGUAAAGGGUGCGUAGGCGGUUUGGCAAGUCUUGUGUGAAAUUCCUGGGCUCAACCUGGGGGCUGCGUUUGAUACUUGGUUGCUUGAGUGGGGAAGAGGGUCGUGGAAUUCCCAGUGUAGAGGUGAAAUUCGUAGAUAUUGGGAAGAACACCGGUGGCGAAGGCGGCGACCUGGUCCUUUACUGACGCUGAGGCGCGAAAGCGUGGGGAGCAAACAGGAUUAGAUACCCGGGUAGUCCCUGUCUCUUAUAC
rnacentral:rRNA from 1 species